AAUAGGAUUACAUCCUAUUCUGAUUUAUUCCGUCCUUUCAGGACU
rnacentral:sRNA from 1 species